UACGGAGGGUGCAAGCGUUACUCGGAAUUACUGGGCGUAAAGCGCACGCAGGUGGCUGAGUCAGUCGAUUGUGAAAGCCCUGGGCUUAACCUGGGAAUUGCAGUCGAUACUACUCAGCUAGAGUAUGGGAGAGGGUAGUGGAAUUCCCGGUGUAGCGGUGAAAUGCGUAGAUAUCGGGAGGAACAUCAGUGGCGAAGGCGGCUUCCUGGUCCAGUACCGACGUUCAGGCACGAAAGCGUGGGGAGCAAACAGG
rnacentral:rRNA from 1 species